rnacentral:rRNA from 1 species
UACGUAGGGAGCAAGCGUUGUCCGGAAUCAUUGGGCGUAAAGCGCGCGUAGGUGGCUUCGUAAGUCCGUUGUGAAAGUCAAAGGCUCAACCUUUGAAAGCCGAUGGAUACUGCGGAGCUAGAGUACGGAAGAGGCGAGUGGAAUUCCUGGUGUAGCGGUGGAAUGCGCAGAUAUCAGGAGGAACACCGGUGGCGAAGGCGGUUCUCUGGGCCUGUACUGACGCUGAGGAGCGAAAGCGUGGGGAGCGAACAGG